UGGGGGAUAUUGCACAAUGGGCGCAAGCCUGAUGCAGCGACGCCGCGUGAGGGAAGAAGGUUUUCGGAUUGUAAACCUCUGUCUUCAGGGACGAUAAUGACGGUACCUGAGGAGGAAGCCACGGCUAACUACGUGCCAGCAGCCGCGGUAAUACGUAGGUGGCAAGCGUUGUCCGGAAUUACUGGGUGUAAAGGGAGCGUAGGCGGGAAUGCAAGUCAAGUGUGAAAUCUACCGGCUCAACUGGUAGCUGCGCUUGAAACUGUGUUUCUUGAGUGAAGUAGAGGCAGGCGGAAUUCCUAGUGUAGCGGUGAAAUGCGUAGAUAUUAGGAGGAACACCAGUGGCGAAGGCGGCCUGCUGGGCUUUUACUGACGCUGAGGCUCGAAAGUGUGGGUAGCAAACAGG
rnacentral:rRNA from 1 species